UACGUAGGGUGCAAGCGUUGUCCGGAAUUAUUGGGCGUAAAGAGCUCGUAGGCGGCUUGUCACGUCGACUGUGAAAAUCCGGGGCUCAACCCCGGACUUGCGGUGGGUACGGGCAGACUAGAGUGUGGUAGGGGAGACUGGAAUUCCUGGUGUAGCGGUGAAAUGCGCAGAUAUCAGGAGGAACACCGGUGGCGAAGGCGGCCAUCUGGACGACAACUGACGCUGAGAUGCGAAAGCGUGGGGAGCAAACAGG
rnacentral:rRNA from 1 species